rnacentral:lncRNA from 1 species
UUCGAAUUUUCUGAUAAAAGGGCUAUUUAUUGUGAAUUAUUGAAGUUCCGGAGUUCCUAAAUAAUUGAUUUUUGGAAGUUUUAAUUAUUAUUUUGAAGAAAAACGUUUUUGCCAUUUGAGAGGCACAUGUUAAGGAUGGAAAUCAGCUGAGUUCAGAUGUCUAGACCAAAAGUGUGGGCUAAGGAAUUUUGUUUAUAAAUAAUAUUAUUAUAUUCAAUUUUCUACUUUGGUGUUCUAAGCAUUUUCCUAUAAAUAGGGAGCUUAGGUUAGAAUUGAAAAUCACACCAGAAACUGAAGUUUUCUCUCUAUUUCUCUCUCGAUAUUUUGAGCGUAUUCUUGUGAGUAUACUUUGAGUGUUGAUAUACGGUGCAAGUUCAAGUCAUAGCCUAUAUCCGGUGUUUCAACUAGAAGUACUGUCUUU